UGGGUUUAAAGCGUACAGCUGUGAGUUGUGUGGAAAGUCUUUUACCCUGGCUAUAAGCUUAAAAAGACACCAACUCACCCACUCUGGAAUUAAAGCGUACAGCUGUGACAUUUGUGGAAAAAAAUUCAGCCAGCCAGGCAGCCGAAAUAUUCACCUGCGGAUUCACACUGGAAAUGAUGUUUACUGCUGUGAUCAGUGUGGGAAACACUUUACAACAGCCACACAGUUACAAAGCCACAUGUUUACCCACACUGAAGAAAGAUCUUAUAAAUGUGACCUGUGUGAGAAGACUUUUAAGUCUCCACGUUACCUGGAAAAACACCAACACGUCCACACCAGAAAGUAACUCUACAAGUGCAGUUACUGUGAGAAGCAGAGCGACACAGAUGGAUCCAGUUCUCAACCCUGUCGUCACUGUGGUGGUGGGAAAGCGUUUCUUUGUGACCUUUGUGGAAAAACUUUCAGUCAUUAAGAGAGCCUAAUAAGACAUCAACGUAGACAUACUGGAGACAAAAUGAACUACUGCAAAGAAUGUGGGAGAGGUUUCACCACACCAAGUGCAUUUCAAAACAUGAACUAUGUCAUAGUGGGGUCAAAAAGCACAUCUGUGACCAGUGUGGGUCAUCCUUCCUUACUGCAGUGCAGAUAACAUUAAAGUGCAUAAACGCAUUCACACAGGAGAGACACCAUACAAGUGCAGACACUGUGACAUAAGCUUCUCGUGUUCAGGUAAUCGUAACGUUCAUGAAAGUACACACAUUGAAGGGAACUUCAGCUGUGACCAGUGUUACAAGAGCUUCAAGAAUCUCAGUUCAUACUCCAAACACAAACGAUCCCAUGUUUUAAAUAAACUGUUUCACUGUUACCAAUGUGCAAAAACAUUCACUUCAUUAUCUGCUCUGUGCAAACAUCAUCUGAACUCUACUAUUUUGGAGGGGGCAAACAGUGUACAGAUGAGUGUUAACAUGUGCUUGUCAGGCACUCUUUUUGGCUGUCGUGGUUUACACUUUACACUCUUUCAUCUUCCGUUUCUCGCCUGUACCAACCAUUGACUGUCAUCGUCAUUUUCCCCUCUCUCGUGCUCACACACAACAGGAGGGGCAGUCCCACACAUUCUCCCUGCAACACGGACUGCACAACCCACAAGGCUAAAUUCUUAAAGGUCUAUGCCUGUAACACUCUGCUUAUAUUGUCUUCAUAUUAAAUCUUUUUUUUAAUAAUAAUUAAAAAAAAAUUCUUCACGUCAAUAUGCGGGCCCCGAGUUUGAGAUCCGUUUUAAUCUUUGUUCCCUUAGAACAUAGUGAUUAGUAGUUGUACUUUUUACUGUAUUAUAAAAGUUAUAGGAAUGUGUUUUUACCAAACUAAUAUUGUAUCAAAACUGUCGAUAUAGAUAUACACAUCAGUGUCUUUCAUUUGACGUUUCCCAGUUUUCAAAAUGUACUUGUUUUUCAUGUAUUCAUUUUAUUUGUUACCUCAGUUACACGUUAAUCCUUUUUCAUAUUUAAUCUUCUACUGUGGUAAUCCUUGUUCUUAGAUCCCUUUCUCCCAGAACUCCAAAUAAUUUCACACCAGUUGCCCUUAAAGCUUCCAAUAUGAACUAAAUCCGUCAACUGUCUUUGAAACAACAACUGCUGUGACUUUAUGGCCAGAAAAAAGAAUCUCAAGCUAAACUGGUGUUGGGCUGUACUUCCAUGUAAUACCAGGUUGUACCAGAAGGUGGAGCAGUGCUCCAAGAGCAUUCUUAUUCACAAUGGCAGCAAAGAAAUGUUAAAAACAGCAGCAUACAUCAGGGUGGUUUUAAAGAUAGCAGAUGACUCCUUUUAGUUCAUUCAAAUUCUAUCAAACCUAUAUUUUUGGCUGCUCCUUUCACUUUAGUGUAUUUACAAUAUCCUUGAAGUCUAUGUGUUGUUUUUUAAUGAAUUCAUUUUGAUCCACAUGUUCUGCAGCUGUUUCCUUGUUGAUUUGAAGUUUGUAUUAUGAAAUCCUGAUACUGUUAAAUCAUUAGUUAUAUCUGAUGAACUGUGCAAAGUUUUUAGGGUGUG